rnacentral:rRNA from 1 species
GACGAACGCUGGCGGCGUGCUUAACACAUGCAAGUCGAACGGUAAGGCCCCAGCUUGCUGGGGUACACGAGUGGCGAACGGGUGAGUAACACGUGGGUGACCUGCCCCGCACUUCGGGAUAAGCCUGGGAAACUGGGUCUAAUACCGGGUAGGACCGCACCGUGAGGGUGUGGUGGAAAGUUUUUCGGUGUGGGAUGGGCCCGCGGCCUAUCAGCUUGUUGGUGGGGUAAUGGCCUACCAAGGCGGCGACGGGUAGCCGGCCUGAGAGGGUGGACGGCCACAUUGGGACUGAGACACGGCCCAGACUCCUACGGGAGGCAGCAGUGGGGAAUAUUGCACAAUGGGCGGAAGCCUGAUGCAGCGACGCCGCGUGGGGGAUGACGGCCUUCGGGUUGUAAACUCCUUUCACCAUCGACGAAGGUUUUCUGACGGUAGAUGGAGAAGAAGCACCGGCUAACUACGUG